CAACCUGCCGAUGACUCGGGGAUAGCCUUUCGAAAGAAAGAUUAAUACCCGAUGGCAUAGUUCUUCCGCAUGGUGGAACUAUUAAAGAAUUUCGGUCCUCGAUGGGGAUGCGUUCCAUUAGGUUGUUGGCGGGGUAACGGCCCACCAAGCCUUCGAUGGAUAGGGGUUCUGAGAGGAAGGUCCCCCACAUUGGAACUGAGACACGGUCCAAACUCCUACGGGAGGCAGCAGUGAGGAAUAUUGGUCAAUGGACGAGAGUCUGAACCAGCCAAGUAGCGUGAAGGAUGACUGCCCUAUGGGUUGUAAACUUCUUUUAUACGGGAAUAAAGUGAGGCACGUGUGCCUUUUUGUAUGUACCGUAUGAAUAAGGAUCGGCUAACUCCGUGCCAGCAGCCGCGGUAAUACGGAGGAUCCGAGCGUUAUCCGGAUUUAUUGGGUUUAAAGGGAGCGUAGGCGGACGCUUAAGUCAGUUGUGAAAGUUUGCGGCUCAACCGUAAAAUUGCAGUUGAUACUGGGUGUCUUGAGUACAGUAGAGGCAGGCGGAAUUCGUGGUGUAGCGGUGAAAUGCUUAGAUAUCACGAAGAACUCCGAUUG
rnacentral:rRNA from 1 species